UACGAAGGUGGCAAGCGUUGUUCGGAUUUACUGGGCGUACAGGGAGCGUAGGCGGUUGGAUAAGCCCUCCGUGAAAUCUCCAGGCUUAACCUGGAAAGUGCAGAGGGGACUGUUCAGCUAGAGGAUGGGAGAGGAGCGCGGAAUUCCCGGUGUAGUGGUGAAAUGCGUAGAGAUCGGGAGGAACACCAGUGGCGAAGGCGGCCCCUGGGCCGUUCCUGACGCUGAGACGCGAAGGCGCGGGGAGCGAACGGGAUGA
rnacentral:rRNA from 1 species